rnacentral:lncRNA from 1 species
CUAGGGUUACACGCGGCGGCGACGCUUGAUUUACGAGUAGUGGCUGGCUCGCCGGAGUGUCGACGGAAGAGAGAGAGAGAGAGCAGGGGGAACAGGGUGCCGGUGAUGGUGGCUUAGCUGCUGUCGCUGGAAGGACGAUGGAGGCGGUGGCUGGUUCCAGCUGCUGUGACCGCCGGGUUGUGUAGGUAGAGGGAAAACGAGGGAGAAGAAGAUGGGGGAGAGGGAGAGGGCCGGUCGUCGGCUUCUCGCCGGAGGAGGAGCCGCGGCGGCGGAAUUUCGAGGAAGAAGGGGCGG